rnacentral:rRNA from 1 species
GACGAACGCUGGCGGCGUGCUUAACACACGCAAGUCGAACGGAAAGGCCCUGCUUUUGUGGGGUGCUCGAGUGGCGAACGGGUGAGUAACUCGUGAGUAACCUGCCCUUGACUUUGGGAUAACUUCAGGAAACUGGGGCUAAUACCGGAUAGGAGCUCCUGCUGCAUGGUGGGGGUUGGAAAGUUUCGGCGGUUGGGGAUGGACUCGCGGCUUAUCAGCUUGUUGGUGGGGUAGUGGCUUACCAAGGCUUUGACGGGUAGCCGGCCUGAGAGGGUGACCGGCCACAUUGGGACUGAGAUACGGCCCAGACUCCUACGGGAGGCAGCAGUGGGGAAUAUUGCACAAUGGGCGGAAGCCUGAUGCAGCAACGCCGCGUGCGGGAUGACGGCCUUCGGGUUGUAAACCGCUUUCGCCUGUGACGAAGCGUGAGUGACGGUAAUGGGUAAAGAAGCACCGGCUAACUACGUGCCAGCAGCCGCGGUGAUACGUAGGGUGCGAGCGUUGUCCGGAUUUAUUGGGCGUAAAGGGCUCGUAGGUGGUUGAUCGCGUCGGAAGUGUAAUCUUGGGGCUUAACCCUGAGCGUGCUUUCGAUACGGGUUGACUUGAGGAAGGUAGGGGAGAAUGGAAUUCCUGGUGGAGCGGUGGAAUGCGCAGAUAUCAGGAGGAACACCAGUGGCGAAGGCGGUUCUCUGGGCCUUUCCUGACGCUGAGGAGCGAAAGCGUGGGGAGCGAACAGGCUUAGAUACCCUGGCAGUCCACGCUGUAAACGGUGGGUACUAGGUGUGGGGUCCAUUCCACGGGUUCCGUGCCGUAGCUAACGCUUUAAGUACCCCGCCUGGGGAGUACGGCCGCAAGGCUAAAACUCAAAGGAAUUGACGGGGCCCCGCACAAGCGGCGGAGCAUGCGGAUUAAUUCGAUGCAACGCGUAGAACCUUACCUGGGUUUGACAUGGAUCGGGAGUGCUCAGAGAUGGGUGUGCCUCCUUUGGGGUCGGUUCACAGGUGGUGCAUGGCUGUCGUCAGCUCGUGUCGUGAGAUGUUGGGUUAAGUCCCGCAACGAGCGCAACCCUUGUUCACUGUUGCCAGCACGUUAUGGUGGGGACUCAGUGGAGACCGCCGGGGUUAACUCGGAGGAAGGUGGGGAUGACGUCAAGUCAUCAUGCCCCUUAUGUCCAGGGCUUCACGCAUGCUACAAUGGCUGGUACAGAGAGUGGCGAGCCUGUGAGGGUGAGCGAAUCUCGGAAAGCCGGUCUCAGUUCGGAUUGGGGUCUGCAACUCGACCUCAUGAAGUCGGAGUCGCUAGUAAUCGCAGAUCAGCAACGCUGUGGUGAAUACGUUCCCGGG